CCCCUCUUCUCCAUGCCAUAUAUGGAUUAGGAUCAGAUUCUGUUUCAAUUUAAAUCCUAAUCUGAUAAGGUUUUGACCUAAUCUCUCUUCUUGGGCGCCUAUUAAAGGGUUUUUUCUCUAGGGGCGUUGAAGAUAAUGACAGAUCUGAUUUUUAUCAUAAAAAAUCAAAAAAGAGGGUGUAGGGUUUUCUCUUGGGACAUCUCCUCCUCUUAGACAUUGGGUUUUGGGAAGAGAGAAAAAGAAAAAGAAAAAAAGGUUCUCUUCUAUUUCAUCUUCCUCCUCUUCUUCUUCCUAUUCUUUUUCUUUAAGAGCGUCUGAGAGAAAUGAAGAAAGAUCCC
rnacentral:lncRNA from 1 species